rnacentral:sRNA from 1 species
GAGGUUCAAGGCAUUCAG